GACGUAGGGCGCGAGCGUUGUCCGGAUUUAUUGGGCGUAAAGAGCUCGUAGGCGGCUUGUUGCGUCGGCUGUGAAAACCCGCGGCUUAACCGCGGGCCUGCAGCCGAUACGGGCGGCCUGGAGGGGGGUAGGGGGGUCUGGAACUUCCGGUGGAGCGGUGAAAUGCGUUGAGAUCGGAAGGAACGCCCGUGGCGAAAGCGGCUCACUGGACCACAACUGACGCUGAUGCGCGAAAGCUAGGGGAGCAAACAGG
rnacentral:rRNA from 1 species